rnacentral:lncRNA from 1 species
GAAUAACACUUGCUGUUUACUGAGAAGUAGCCCUGCUCAUUUCUCUUUGGCGUUCUCUCUGGCCACCAGGUUUUCUGGGACUUGGUCUUUAUUUUAAACAGUUUGUAGAUAGAGACGAUGGAAUUUUGAAGUUAAUAGAAAGAAGCUGCAGUGACACUAUUAAUCCAAGAAAAAGUCUGCCAAACCUUACUUUACACUUUGAGAAAAUGUUUUGCUUGUUUUCAGUCUGGCCUCAUCACAGUCAUUUUGAACACACACACACACACACACACACAUACACUGUAGUGGGUUGAAUGGUGGCCCCUCAAAAGAUACAUUCACCUGGAACUUGUGAAUGUGACUCUAUUUAGAAAAAUGGUUUUUGCAGAUCUAAUAAGGAUCCUGAAAUGAGAUCAACCUGGAUUAUCCAGGUGGGCCCUAUAGCUAAUGACAAGUGUAGUAUAAGAGACAAGAGAAGACACGGGAGGGCAGAAGGCAAUGUGAAGACAGAGGCAAAGACUGGAGUGAUGCAACUGCAAGCCAAAGAAUCCCUGGAGCUGUCAGAGAUUGGAAGAGGCGAGGAAGCUUCUCCCCUGAGUCUUCAGAGGGAGCACAAGCCUGCCGACACGGUGAUUUUGGACUUCUGGCCUCCAGAACGGCCAAUGAAAAUGUCACCCCCUCAGUGAGACUUCUCCUGUUUCCCCAGCAAAAUUCGUCACUGUACCCUCUGGGCUUCCAUCAUAAGAUUGUCAAGAAAUUAUCCCAAGUUGGAUGGACAGGACUGUUCCAGCUGAGGCUUUCGUAGCUGUGUAUUAUAUGGGUACAUUCCAGUGUCUGCAAGGAAAUUUCUUACAGGUCGUGAGGGAACACACAAUGUCUGUGGCAUCAUCUUUACAUUCUGUUAAACAAAUGGCCUCCUUUAUAUUCAUUUGAAUUGAGAAACAGCCAUGUCAUAUUCAAAUGUUUUAAAAAGCAAAUUUUGGAAGUUAUUACAAAAUGUGUGUGUGUUUGACAUUUGUAAAUGCUGAUUGGAAGAGAAAUUUUAAACCAACCUCUGGAAGGAUGACAAAGAAUUAAGGAUCUAAGGUUGAAAAAAAAAAAACAACAACAUUCAGACAUCACUGGACAGUUGUACUAACUGUGGACAGGAUGGCAAAUACUCCUUGAAAUGGACGGGGCUGCUGAAGCUCCCCCUGUGUGUGGUGACAGAGCAGGGAGGCAAGCCAACUUUUGGGACCUGAGCGCAUGAUCUUUUCACGAUUCUGUGUUGUAUCCAAGAGUUGGCUGGGGUCAUGACACUGCCUUAUUUGGCUAUGACCUCUCAGGCAAAGCAUUUAACCCGAGUUUCGUAAUCUGUGAAAUAAAAGGGGCUCAACUAGACACUCCUUAGACCUAACAUUUUGAGUCUAGUUUCGCAUAGAAAUACCUCCACAGUGAAAGGUUGCGGGCUGCGUGCCCUACGGCGGGAGCCUGAAUGAAAUCUCUCUUCCUCUGCUCUUCCUUUUCUUUCUCCGGUGAAAGGGGAAUAGUCAUGCUCAUGUGUAAUAAA